UGGCAGCCUGCAACCACAGAGCUGGAGUGAGCAGGAGGCUUGGUUGAUCCAGUGAUGGAGGAAGCCAAGCUUCCACAUGCCGCGGCCGGCUCUGAUCUCCACUGAAGACAACAAAGUUUCAAUUAUAGCAGCGAGAGGAAGGGAGAGGGAUAGAGA